UAAACUUUCCACACUCCCAUUGCCAUGCAUGAAUGAACCAUAUGGUUCUCUGUGAUUUGCAAAAAUAGUGGGAGAUAAUAAAUGGGCUAAAUGGCCAAUAAUACGUACGGUAUAAUUACGAAUUUUGUCAGCAUAUAUAAAUCAAGACUAAUUUGGCUAGUUUGUGCGACAUGGUGCAUCGCAUGUUUUUUCCAGGAAACUACGAAUCUAUUCAUCUUCAGUUAUGAUAGUACAACAAACAGUAAAAAUAAUAAUAAAUACAUCCAAAACUGUAGACAAUCUGUAGACCACCUAGCGACGACUACAAGCACUAAAGCGAGCCGAAGGCGUGCCACUGUCAUCGCCCCUUCCUCAUCGGAGCCGAGCAAAACUUGUUGUAGUAGACAGUCGGGAAGUCGUCGUGCUAACACCCCAUAUGACCAUCGCACCAGAACAGCAACCGUCGCCGAUAAAGAGUAGCGUAGAUUAGAAGGAUUUAAUCUGAAGACACACAAAUAUAGACGAACAACGACCAGAUCUGAUCAAAUCCACCAAAGACAGAUCAGCCGGAAGCACACCUUCACAUGAACCACCAACGGUGCUAGACCCAUAACCGAAACAGGGGCUAGACGAGGAGAACAUUAUUCCAUCUUCAGGGAGCUGCCGCUAUCCCGCCUUCCUGAGUAGGACACAAAUCCUAACAAAAGUCAAAGAAAAAUCUAAAAACGAAGUCCUCCCACCUGCAAAGACCGGGAUCCGGAAGGCGCCGGCUGCUAGCACAUCACAUGUUGGCUAAAUAUUAUUCACAAAAAUAAUACAUUUCGACUAAAUGCAUCAGCUUAAAGACGGAGGUCUCUCCCAUAUCACUUGUAAUUGUAGGAAAGAACUAAAGCAGAAUCACAAGUGGUUAACCGCCGCGUAUGAUGCCCUGAAGCGGCCGUACGAAUGGCGAGUGAAAUACUACUGUGUUGAAAGAUAAAGUGAAGCAAUGAUAUAAAAGAAUAAAGCGAAGAGUGGUAUGGAAGUCCCUUUAACGUGUGUUAGGACCUCAGAUUUACUAUUUCACCACAGCGCUCCCAAAUCGAGCGUGGAUCGGCUAGCUUUUAACAAGACCGGCAAAGGAACAAACAAGGACGUACGUACGUUAACGCGUCAGAGCAAUAAUAAGCAUGUACAUAUGCUGGGCCUUGUCGAGUAUAUUAGCAAUUAUCCGACUAUUCAAACCAGAAAUAGAUCAUAAACAUGGCAUGGACAUAAUUAAUGCGUACUGAUUUCUAACCGUUAGGGCACGUGCUACGCAUAUUGCUAUUACUGUUAAAAUAGAAAUAAAUAGAAGCGGGAUAAACAUGUUAUACCCUUCGGUAGGCGUAAGUCUGGGCAAAGCCACAGCUGUGGCGGCCUCUUGGGCGGCCUUCUUGUCAGCGGCGGCCUUCUCGGCAGCGAGUCGGUCAACUUCGGUGGCGGUGGACUUGGUGAUGACGAAGUCGGUGCGGACAUAGACGAAGUAGUGAGUGUAGACGAAUAGCGGCAAGCAAUCUCAUAGGAGACGCUCCUCAAAGACUUAAUUGCCCUCUCCCGUACAGGAUUUCAAAGGGCCGGGUUUUGGAAGCCCGCUCUCCCAUACAACCAUACACGCGGUGGAUGGGAUAAGAUCGCCGACGGCAGCAGCGGGAGUGGAACAACGGC
rnacentral:lncRNA from 1 species